AUGCUUACUUCGGCAACACAUAUACUAAAAUUGGGACAAUACGGAGAUUAGCAUGGCUCAUGUGCAAGGAUGACACGGAAAUUCAUGAAGAGUUCCAUAUUUUU
rnacentral:snRNA from 1 species